UCGAAAGAGAGAUUAAUACCCCAUAGUAUCGUCAGAAGGCAUCUGAAGACGAUUAAAGCUCCGGCACUUUGAGAUGGGCGUGCGGCUGAUUAGGUAGUUGGUAGGGUAACGGCCUACCAAGCCGACGAUCAGUAGCUGAUGUGAGAGCAUGAUCAGCCACACGGGCACUGAGACACGGGCCCGACUCCUACGGGAGGCAGCAGUGAGGAAUAUUGGUCAAUGGAGGCAACUCUGAACCAGCCAUGCCGCGUGAAGGAUGAAGGUCCUCUGGAUUGUAAACUUCUUUUAUAGAAGAAGAAACCCCAUCUUUCUAAGUGGGUUGACGGUACUCUAUGAAUAAGCACCGGCUAACUCCGUGCCAGCAGCCGCGGUAAUACGGAGGGUGCAAGCGUUAUCCGGAUUCACUGGGUUUAAAGGGAGCGUAGGUGGGCUUGUAAGUCAGAGGUGAAAUCUCCGAGCUUAACUUGGAAACUGCCAUUGAUACUACUCGUCUUGAAUUCUGUGGAGGUAAGCGGAAUAUAUCAUGUAGCGGUGAAAUGCUUAGAUAUGAUAUAGAACACCGAUAGCGAAGGCAGCUUACUACGCAGAUAUUGACACUGAGGCUCGAAAGCGUGGGGAUCAAACAGGAUUAGAUACCCUGGUAGUCCACGCCCUAAACUAUGGAUACUCGACAUCAGCGAUACACAGUUGGUGUCUGAGCGAAAGCAUUAAGUAUCCCACCUGGG
rnacentral:rRNA from 1 species